UGUUAAGGUGGGUGGUGCUGAUGUUAAGAGGCGGUGCUGAUGUUAAGGUGGUACUGAUGUUAAGGUGGUGCUGAUGUUAAGAGCGGUGCUGAUGUUAAGGUGGUACUGAUGUUAAGGUGGUACUGAUGUUAAGGUGGUGCUGAUGUUAAGGUGGUCUGAUGUUAAGGUGGUACUGAUGUUAAGGUGGUGCUGAUGUUAAGGUGGUGCUGAUGUUAAGGUGCCCAAAGACGUGAAGCCCAAACCACGGUAUAACUUCAUAACUUCAUAACUUCAUGUUCCUCAUCUCGACGCAGGUUGUUGCUGAACUUUUUCCGAUUUCAAGAAAUAAUCAGAACCUUUAGAGCAAUGUUGUUCUUUUAUCUUAGUGUGGAUAUGUUGACCCCUGACCCUGUUGAAAAUAUAAUCUUGAAAUUGGUGGAGGACCAUAAUUGAUCACUUAAAGGAAUACUUAGGAACACUGAUUUGCAUGUGGCUUUGUAUUGCUAGAAUAGUGGUAGUGUUUUUUAAAAAUUGUGCUUCCCUCCCCAAAAAUCUGGUUUUCCCUGCACUGAGUCAAAUGACUCGCCAAUCGCGUCAUUUGACUCAGUGCAGGGCAAACGUCAGUUCCACACUUUUUAGACUCACCCGUAGGAGGAUGAGAACACGGUGUCCGCCAUCUUUGCUAACAGUUACGCUAACCGGCUCUCGCUCUACAGAGUAAACUGAGAACAACAAUGAUGGAAUGUAGUUUUCAAACUGAUACGGCUGCGAGGCAAAAGACCUGCAUUUCAGUGAAAACUAGAAGGCGGCGGGUCGCGACCAACACCGGCCGCUGGUCUCGCGGCGAGCACCGGUGGGUGGCAAGUAUUUUGUUUUGUAUUUUUAUAUUUAUUAUAUAUUUAAUUCCUCACAAGGAUUUGUGUGUUUACAGAGCAACUGUCUGCUUUGGGGGCAGUGAGCACAGUGCAUGUUGGGAGUUGUUGUAGUUCAUCUACAAGAGCCAAAAUGACAUUUUUCUGCCUUUCUUGGCCAAGAAGACACUUACUUCAAAUGUUAUUUCCCAUUUCUACGACAUAAAUGAGCCAGUUUUCAAAGACAUUCAUCGCAUGCCUUUAGUUCCGUCACAGGAUUUCAUUUCUCAUUUCCUCUGUAUCAGUAAGCUGUCACAACAUUUGUACUCUUAGUGUUUAGUCUCUUAAAACUUACAAAUACAAACCAUAUGAAGGUAGAAGUAGACCGAAAGAUUUCCAUUUACAAAUCCCUGUGUGUGUGUGUGUGUGUGUGUGUGUGUGUGUGUGUUUUG